UAACUAUUAUAGCAAUGGCACACAAUUAUUAUGUGCUUGACAUUAGUGAGAUCGUGGAAGACACAGUCCUUGGCAGUUAUAAGAGGCUGUUUCUGUAUAGAAGAGCCCACAACCUAAACAAGUGAAGCAAGAGGGAAGAAGGAGCACUCAUAUCUUAAUUUUGCAGGUGGAAAACAAGAAGAGAACUUGUCAUUUGCUCAAGAUAACUUGUGAAGCCCAUGGCAGCAGCAGUAAUCCAGGUCUCUUCAGUCUCUGACGGGCUCUGCCCAUGUUCAGGCUGGACUCACAAGGCGCGAAACAACUUCUCCCCUCCAAAGAAGUGAUGCUGCCCUGAGUGUGACCCCUCCUGCCUGCUGGCUGACCACAUGCACCGGUGUCAUUCCAAUACCUGGAGCAGAAUCAGUGAAAAUAUUUCUAUGAGCCUGCCCAGCAAACUCAUGUUCAUGGGUUUUCUGUCUUUGUGAAUAAGAGAGGCUGUUCUUCAGAAAGAUAUUACAUAGCAAGGUGGGUGCACUAACAAUCCUUUUAAAGAAAAGAAAGGCAAUCUCAUUUUACUCAUACUUUCCAAACAUAGGUAGAGGCUCCUGUAAUUCAUGAUAAUCAAAAUGUGAUUAAAGUACAUCAUGUUUCUCUUAAAUUCUAUUUCUACUUCAAACAGUGGGUAAUAAUGCUAAAACAAACUUCUAUCCAAAGUUUUGUCUACUUAGAGAAGACAGAAGGAGAAAUUCAGUUUUAUUGUAUGGUGCAUAUAGAAGGAAACAAAAAGUCCUACCACAGUUAAAUGAAAUAAAGUAUAGGGUAUCUAUUGUAUCCUCUAAUUGUUAACACCUAAAACAAGUUACCAUUGGGAAACUAUGCACACAUGUAUUACUACAUAAACUUCAGUACAGGUUUGUUCUUUUUUCUUUUUAGGAAUAUUUCCUGCAGUGUAGUUCAAUAACAAUAAAAUAAGAGACAGUCUAAAUGUGUGUCUGACAUCAUAAGAACCUAAAGUUGCUAAAAGUAUUAUUUGUACUGAAGACAUUUCAUUCCUUAGUGUCAUUGGUAAUAAUGUAAUAAUAAAACCUUUGCAAAACAUGUCAUAGAAUACCUUUUCUGAUCCUUAAUCUGUGUAGCCUCACCUACCAGUUAUUCGUAGAAGCCUAGGAUUGAAAAAACAACCUAUUUAAUUAAUAUCUAGAGGUACAAAGGACUCCAUUUGUAUGAAUAAGAAUGCAUGUAUAAUAUUAGAAGAUUUAUACCAAACACUGAGGAUAUACUUAUCUUAAAAUAAUUUUUUCUUUCUGAAAGACAGAAAACCACACCUACAUUGGGUACACACACUAUCCAAAAUGUCAAGACAUGCAUGUUGCUUUCAAGUGAGAAGCCCGUUAGUCUCCUGGUGUAAACAAGCUCCACAGUUUCAGAUUUCUUUGUCAAAGACACCUCUGAGCACUGCUAGUUUAAUAUAGGAGCACUUUCCUAGAGGUCUGGAUACUCGGAAAGUCUCAUUCUGUUCAGUUAAGACGGAGAUUCAUAAAAUUUGUAUUGAGUGUUGGAAACUGAUAUUAAACUCUUUGACAGAGUAAAGAUCUGGUGGUAAUUGCAUUUUUUUUUCUAAUGUGCCCAUUUAUCCUUUUUUUCUUUACUGCUGUUAAACAAAAUUAAAUUUUUAUUCAUGCAAUUUACUUGUCAUUUUAUAGACUAGAUUGUUUGCAUAAAAUCAUUGUUUGCAAUCUACCUGACAUUUACAUGGUGCAUUUCUAACAAGUGUGUUGGGCAGUGACACAUACCCACAAACCUUCAUUUUUGCUGCACUCUUCUGACUUGGAAUACAAGACUUGUUCAUAAAAUGGAGUUUUAUAUUCUGAGGAAGUGGAAUGUGUUCUCUUUUUGCAUUAGAAAUGUUAAAAUUCCUUUUUUCAUCAUAAUCUGUAAUCUGACAUGCUUAUAAAUACCCUGUCACACCGUGCCUUGCACAUUCCUAAUCUUCUAUUGACAGUCAUAUUGCCUUCCAUUUACAUUGCUUCACUCAUGCCCAUUCAUACUUAAUCAGGCUUUGUGCUUGGUUGAUCACACUGAAUGAAAACCAUUCUCUGCCUCUCAGACUUUUAUAUUCAUAACCAUACUUAUUUCUUUAUUCAUAUUCUCUGCUUCACACAUCCAUUGUAUAUUAACUCUAGAUAUUUCCAGUCUGUCUAACCUUAAAAAUGUAAGACCUGAUUUAGGGGAAAAAUAAAGCAUCCAUGAAACUGACAUACUUAAA